rnacentral:rRNA from 1 species
GAUGAACGCUGGCGGCGUGCCUAAUACAUGCAAGUCGAGCGAACAGACGAGGAGCUUGCUCCUCUGACGUUAGCGGCGGACGGGUGAGUAACACGUGGAUAACCUACCUAUAAGACUGUGAUAACUUCGGGAAACCGGAGCUAAUACCGGAUAAUAUAUUGAACCGCAUGGUUCAAUAGUGAAAGACGGUUUUGCUGUCACUUAUAGAUGGAUCCGCGCCGUAUUAGCUAGUUGGUAAGGUAACGGCUUACCAAGGCAACGAUGCGUAGCCGACCUGAGAGGGUGAUCGGCCACACUGGAACUGAGACACGGUCCAGACUCCUACGGGAGGCAGCAGUAGGGAAUCUUCCGCAAUGGGCGAAAGCUUGACGGAGCAACGCCGCGUGAGUGAUGAAGGUCUUCGGAUCGUAAAACUCUGUUAUUAGGGAAGAACAAAUGUGUAAGUAACUAUGCACGUCUUGACGGUACCUAAUCAGAAAGCCACGGCUAACUACGUG